ACCCUCUCAGGUCGUACCUGGAGAGUUUCCAGUACUCUGCCAGUUUCGACAAUGGGAGGGAUUCUAAAACAGAGGCAUGCCCAUUCCAUUCCUAGCUUGGGCAGUGACUAGAGAGUGGAAGGCAAUCUGCUAUAAGU